rnacentral:rRNA from 1 species
CCUACGGGUGGCAGCAGUGAGGAAUAUUGGUCAAUGGACGAGAGUCUGAACCAGCCAAGUAGCGUGAAGGAUGACUGCCCUAUGGGUUGUAAACUUCUUUUAUAUGGGAAUAAACUGUUCCACGUGUGGGAUUUUGUAUGUACCAUAUGAAUAAGGAUCGGCUAACUCCGUGCCAGCAGCCGCGGUAAUACGGAGGAUCCGAGCGUUAUCCGGAUUUAUUGGGUUUAAAGGGAGCGUAGGUGGAUUGUUAAGUCAGUUGUGAAAGUUUGCGGCUCAACCGUAAAAUUGCAGUUGAAACUGGCAGUCUUGAGUACAGUAGAGGUGGGCGGAAGUCGGGGUGUAGCGGUGAAAUGCUUAGAUAUCACGAAGAACUCCGAUUGCGAAGGCAGUUCACUGGACUGCAACUGACACUGAGGCUCGAAAGUGUGGGUAUCAAACAGGAUGAGAUACCCCAGUAGUC